UACGAAGGGGGCUAGCGUUGUUCGGAAUUACUGGGCGUAAAGGGCGCGUAGGCUGUGCUGUAAGUCAGGCGUGAAAUCCCCGGGCUCAACCUGGGAAUUGCGCUUGAUACUGCGGCGCUUGAAGACGGGAGAGGAUGGCGGAAUUCCCAGUGUAGAGGUGAAAUUCGUAGAUAUUGGGAAGAACACCGGUGGCGAAGGCGGCUUCCUGGACGUCCACUGACGCUGAGACGCGAAAGCGUGGGGAGCAAACAGG
rnacentral:rRNA from 1 species